GUAAUGGUGAAUCGGGAUUUUUAAUGAAGUGGGUUUGAUUACUCUUGACUAUUUUGUGAUAUCGAGUUACGUCUGUGAUGAAGAGUUAAAAGGAUGUCUAUAAGAUUGAGUAUGCGGAGUGAAUGAAAUUUAUUGGGUUAAUCUAACAAGACAGUCAGUGGAUACAAGAUCGUGAGUAUAAAGCGGUGUCGUGUUGUUACACGAGUAUACAAAGAAAAUAAAAAGAAAGGGGAAUUUUAUUAAUAUUCAGUUACCUCGAAUAUUGGGAGCAUCGACCAACUCCAGUACAAAUACUGAGUGGUCAGGUUCA
rnacentral:lncRNA from 1 species